rnacentral:rRNA from 1 species
ACACCGGCAGCCCAAGUGGUGGCCAUUUUUAUUGGGCCUAAAGCGUUCGUAGCCGGCCUGAUAAGUCUCUGGUGAAAUCCCGCAGCUUAACUGUGGGAAUUGCUGGAGAUACUAUCAGGCUUGAGGUCGGGAGAGGUUAGAGGUACUCCCAGGGUAGGGGUGAAAUCCUAUAAUCCUGGGAGGACCACCUGUGGCGAAGGCGUCUAACUGGAACGAACCUGACGGUGAGGAACGAAAGCCAGGGGCGCGAACCGGAUUAGAUACCCGGGUAGUCCUGGCCGUAAACGAUGUGGACUUGGUGUUGGGAUGGCCUCGAGCUGCCCCAGUGCCGAAGGGAAGCUGUUAAGUCCACCGCCUGGGAAGUACGGUCGCGAGACUGAAACUUAAAUGAAUUGGCGGGG